rfam:Rhodopseudomonas palustris CGA009 complete genome.
CAUAGUGAUCGCCGUCGAGGUUCUUCGGGCACGAUCGUCCCGAAGCUAAGAGGGAAGCCGGUGCAAGGCCGGCGCUGCCCCCGCAACUGUUAGCGGUGAGCCGACGUUCAGCAAAGCCACUGGGAGCGAUCCCGGGAAGGUCGAACAAAGGCGAUGACCCGCGAGCCAGGAGACCUGCCUCGUCGAACGAAACGUC